GUACCUGGAAGAGGUCAUGACCAUGCCACAUUCACCUUUGUUGUCUGUCUGCAGGUCGUCCAGGUAGAAGUCGUUCUGCCGGUUGCCCAGGACGAAGGCCAUUAAGGACAGGACCAGGGCGUUGAGGAUGCCCAUGAUGGCCAACAUGUAGGCCCAGCGUACGGAGCAGUCGCCCAGGGAGUAUUUCCCCGUGUGCUCCCCGCACAUGUCGCGGAUCACCUCUGCAUCCCACCCGUCGGGGAAGAUCAUGCAGCCCAGGACCAGGCAUACUCCUGGAGAACACAGGUGGAGCCCAGGAGUCAGUAACAACACCUGCACAAUUUACUCCUACUUGAACCAAAGGUCCAUUAUCUACGUGGUGAAGUGGCAUCACAUCCACUAUUCCCUGUGAAGACAUCCUGCCUCUGCUUCACCCACAACAUCCAUUUCACGCCAUGGGUGGGUGGCGGCCUGGUGGCAACAGAUGAGGGAGAAUAGCAGAUGAAUCUGCACCAGGACUUUGACU